GCACCACGGGCGCCAGCCCCACCUGGAGGCGCCCCGCCGCGCUCGCUGGACGUCCGUCUUCCCAGGCUGGCGCCCCUUCCGGGGAGAGACCCUGGCCGGGGUGGGGGUGGGGGGGCCACUGCCCGGAGCCGCGCGCCCACCGACGGGGAUAGGUGUGACGGGCGCUCUUCCGCGCGGGAAAGGCCCUUCCUACCCCGCCUUGGCCCUGGGCACCGGGAAGUGACCUGGCUGGGGGACACGCUUUGGGUCACGCAGGGGGUACAAGGGAGCGCGCGGCACCCUGUACCGCUUCUGGUUCCGAGAAGUACAGAGAGAGCCCGGAAAAUCUCCCGAGCCGGUGUCCUCCUCGCUGAAGAGGGGAUGGGGUCACCACCUGGUUGGUGAGGGGCUUGGUGGUCCAGGAGGCAGAGCCUGGCAAAGGGAAACCCACCUACACGGAGGAAGAGCCGCUGCCAGGCAGGGUCGGGACCUGCUGCUCUCGGGGACUGCUCUCCAGGCGACCUGCUGUGCGCUAUGUAGGGAGGUGGCAGAGUCACGGGCGUUCCAAUCCGGAGGGCAGAAAGGAUACAGGAAUGAAGCAGCAUCCCUUCACGUCUUCUAGAGUCCGAAGACAUCCGUCAUCGUCACGCUGAAGCAUGUUGUCAGAGGUAUUGGAGCCAGGGUUGUGCUGGUUCCCGUACGGAAGCCCCUUGAUCCUUCUUACUCCUCCCCGUUCGGCGUCUCUUCCUGCUCAAGCUUCUCACGCCUGAGACCGCUCCCCUCUUCUCACCCUAGGCUUCAAGGAUCUACCCUCCCUCUUGCCAUCCUGACCACUUAGCCAUCUUCCUCUUUCAGACCCAGGCCCCAGCGCUUGUUAAAUCAGCCCCCAUCAGCACUUCCUGUUCAAUCCCACCUAGGGAGCCCUGCUCCCCACCAAACCCUGCAGCUCCCUUCCUGUAACGCGCAGGAGGCUGGAGGGAGUUUUCCUGAGACCGUUACGCUUAACCCUCGCUGUGUGUCUUGUCUUCCGUUUAUUUGAGGGCUGAGACUUUGGGCUCGAGUUCAGGGUAACACAGGUUAUGCUCAUUGACCUUAAAGGCCCCAGUAGAUGUCAGCUAAAAUUAAAACACUCGGGCCAGACAUGCUCUCUAGGAGGAUAAACAAACAAACAAAAAAA